CCUACGGGAGGCAGCAGUGAGGAAUAUUGGUCAAUGGGCGAGAGCCUGAACCAGCCAAGUCGCGUGAGGGAGUACUGCCCUAUGGGUUGUAAACCUCUUUUGUCGGGGAGCAAAAGCCGGACGUGUCCGGCUGUGAGAGUACCCGAAGAAAAAGCAUCGGCUAACUCCGUGCCAGCAGCCGCGGUAAUCGGGGGGAUGCGAGCGUUAUCCGGAUUUAUUGGGGUUAAAGGGUGCGCAGGCGGAGUUUUAAGUCAGCGGUCAAAGCGUGGGGCUCAACCCCAUCCAGCCGUUGAAACUGGGGAUCUAGAGUGGGCGAGAGGUAUGCGGGAUGCGUGGUGGAGCGGUGAAAUGCAUAGAUAUCACGCAGAACCCCGAUUGCGAAGGCAGCAUACCGGUGCACAACUGACGCUCAGGCACGAAAGCGUGGGUAUCGAACAGGAUUAGAUACCCCGGUAGUC
rnacentral:rRNA from 1 species